rnacentral:misc_RNA from 1 species
UUAACUAUUGUAUAGUACUCAGACGACAUUUAUUACAGAGUUGUGGUCCUCUGGUAGGCACUAACCAGCCGAAGCCAGUGCUUGCGCGGCCCACCAAAGCAACAAAUUAAGAUAAUCAAGGGUUAGAAGGACCGGUUUCCCGGCUUCAUUUUUAAUGAUCCUUCCGCAGGUUCACCUACGGAAA